rnacentral:rRNA from 1 species
UACGAGAGGCCCAAGCGUUAUUCGGAUUUACUGGGCUUAAAGAGUCCGUAGGCGGCGCAGCAAGUCGGGUGUGAAAGCCCUCGGCUUAACCGAGGAAUUGCGCCCUAAACUACUGUGCUCGAGGAACCUAGAGGUGAGCGGAACUGAUGGUGGAGCGGUGAAAUGCGUUGAUAUCAUCAGGAACACCGGAGGCGAAGGCGGCUCACUGGGGGUUUUCUGACGCUGAGGGACGAAAGCCAGGGGAGCGAACGGG